AGUGAACGCUGGCGGUAGGCCUAACACAUGCAAGUCGAACGGCAGCACAGUAAGAGCUUGCUCUUACGGGUGGCGAGUGGCGGACGGGUGAGGAAUACAUCGGAAUCUACUUUUUCGUGGGGGAUAACGUAGGGAAACUUACGCUAAUACCGCAUACGACCUACGGGUGAAAGCAGUGGAUCUUCGGACCUUGCGCGAUUGAAUGAGCCGAUGUCGGAUUAGCUAGUUGGCGGGGUAAAGGCCCACCAAGGCGACGAUCCGUAGCUGGUCUGAGAGGAUGAUCAGCCACACUGGAACGGAGACACGGUCCAGACUCCUACGGGAGGCAGCAGUGGGGAAUAUUGGACAAUGGGCGCAAGCCUGAUCCAGCCAGACCGCGUGGGUGAAGAAGGCCUUCGGGUUGUAAAGCCCUUUUGUUGGGAAAGAAAAGCAGCAGGUUAAUACCCCGCUGUUCUGGCGGUACCCAAAGAAUAAGCACCGGCUAACUUCGUG
rnacentral:rRNA from 1 species